AGAAGUAUAGCUCAGUGGCAGAGCACAGCUUAGUAUGCACAAGGUCCUGGGUUCGAUCCCCAGUACUUCCA
rnacentral:tRNA from 1 species